ensembl:vault_RNA Vault Vault RNA
GAGCCAGCUUAGCCUAGCGGUUUCUUCGCUUUCUCCGCAAGAAGCCACUUUGAUAUUCGAUGUUCAAGUCCUGCGGGCGCUGUCUGGUCUUUUU